CCUCACAACCCAUUUCUAGUAUUCAAUUGCCUAGGUUAGUUUGAAUAUAGAAAUUUUAUAGAUCGAUGACAUCCCUUAACCCUUUUCUCAGUUUCUUGUUAGCGAUUCCAGCAUAACGGACCAAUGCAUUGUAACUAAUUGCCUCUGUUUUUUUCUGUUGGUCUCCUUUCCAACCCACAUCCAUUUCUCACCUCCAUUUUCAUUGUUUUUAUCUUUUGUAUUCAGUUUGCAAGAAAUACUAAAUAAUGUCAAUUUUGUUGAUUAAAUGAAAAUUCAUUUUUUGUAUGCUGUGUAAGAGGAAAAUGCUUUAUUAUUGUUUUCACAUGACACAUAAAUAUAUUCAAUUAGUCAAUGAUCGAUAAAUUCUCAUAUUAAAUGGUGUUUGAUUAUUUCUUGCAAACUAAUUGCUAAAUCCCUUCACUGGCAAAAUUUGCAAUAUUUUUAAUUCAGACUCAUCAAUCAAGUUCUACUAUUCAUUGCUUAUAAUUAUGUCUACUAGAUUAUUUGAAUUCGGAUGUGUCAAAAGAAAAAGGAAUAAAAAGGUUGAACAAUUAAUUAAAUCUCAAGAGAGAACGCUUGAUAAGUUUUUUAUUAGCAUUAAACAAAUGCAUAGUGAAAAAAUAGUUCCUGAAGGAGGGUUUAAUGAAACAUAUAAGAGAUAAUCCAAUUGAUAAAUAACACUUGGUGAAUUGAAAAGUAUCUGCUGAAGAUGAUAUUAUGAAAGAUGGAAACAUGAAUAUAAGGGAUAAUGAACCACUUACUGAUCAAGCAAAUUUGGGAAAUAUGAAUUAGAACUUAAGGAAUUUAAUUGUAGUAAAGGUCCUACAAGAGAAUAAUGUGAUUUGAAAGAUGUAGCGAAGAGACACUUUUGCUUAGCACAUUACGUUUGAUGAUUAAUGGAGAGAAGUAUAACAGAAAGUGGCUCAUAUAUUCAAAAGUUACGAUAAAAUAUUUUGCUUUUGUUGUAAGUUAUUCAAGAACGAUGGGAUCAAUUCAAUUGGCCCAUGAUGGUGUGAAUAAUUGGAAAAAUAUUGGUAAAAAUUUUAAACGCGCGAAGUAGUUUGUAACCACAUCACUAAAAUGAGUAGAUGGAUCAAAAUAGACAUAAGAUUUGAAAAGAGUAAAAAAAUUGAUAAAAGUGAGCAGUAAAAAAUAGAGUUACAGAACAAUGGAGACAAGUAUUAUUGUGAAUGAAAUAUAUGGUAAGAAUCCUUGCUAAAAAAUAAUUCAGCACGUCAUGGAGAUAAUGAGAAGAUAUACCAAAAAAUGGUGACAUCUUAAGCUUAAUUCAAAUUAUUGGUGAGUAUGAUACUAUAAUUCUAUAUUGAAAGAGAAAAUUCACUGAAUACAAAAAAAGAAGACUUAUUAUCAUGAUCUUGGGCAUAAAAUACAAUGAGAUGAUACGUAUGUUAGCGAGUGAAUUAAGAAAAUAAUUAUUGAGAAACUCAAAAAAUCUUAAUCAAGUACUUUUCUUGUUAUACUUGAUUGCACUCCAUAGCCAAGUCAUGAAGAACAAAUGUCCUAUUGAGGUGUGUAGGUAUUUUAGCAAGUCCAAUGAAUGCAAAAGAAUUUUUAUUGGUGGAUGAUAUAGUUGGGAAGAAACAAUUUGAUAAACUUGUGGAUGCUUUAAAUAAUUUAGAACUUGAUACUAAUGAUAUUAGAGGUCAAGACUAUGUUAACAUCGCUAACAUGAAAGAAAAACAUAAAGGAUUGCAAAAUAGACUACAAGUAAAGCCUAGAGCAUUUUACACUCUUGUUGGCACCAUAGUCUUGAUCUUACAAUAUAUGAUAUGACAACUUAUCGUUCAAAAGCUAAAUCUUUCUUCGAAAUGGUGCAACAUACAAGCGCUUUCUUUUCAUCAUCUAGUAAACGAUGAAAAAUUUCAAAGAUAAUGUAAAUGACUUAUGUAACACCCCAAAUUUUUACCUUUAGAAUCAUUAUACAUGUAUAGUAAAAGAAUAAUUCAUAAACAAAAGAAAAACAUAAUUUUUUUCUUAACAUGCGAGAAUUUAAAAUUAGUUUUAAGAAAAAUACAAUGAACAUUAUUAAAUUCCUUAACUACAUAAUUUAUUCUUCCUUUUUCACCUACGCAAGCACAAUUCACCUCUGAUCGCCUUGAACUCACAUUUUAAGUUGCCUUGUCUAGUUGGUACUAAAAUUCAACUUAAAUCUCUCAUUAGACAGAUGUUUUGGAUUCGAAUCCUCGAUGACGCGAUAGAAAACCGUGAGGAGUUAAGUGGACAAAUGUUCAUUUAAAGCGGACAGUACGUAUGAUAUAACAGUUUCGGCAUACAAGACAGGUCGUUACAACUUAACCCUUAAACCCUUAUCACAAAUGCCAUUUAAAUGUAAAAUGCUCUAUAUCAAUUGACAAGUAUUUAUGAUCCUAAAACAAGAAGUGAGAUAGAAUGUGCGACAACAUAUGAAAUUGAGAAUUUUUAAUUCUUAUUUGGGAUGGUUAUUUGGUAUGAAGUGUUGAAUAUUGUUAACAAGGUAAAGUAAACACUUGCAAAUAGAAGACAUGCAUAUUGAUGUUGUUAUAGACCAUUUAUAAUUGCUCAUUUCAUUUUUUAAAAGAUAGGCUUGAAUUGGCCAAUAUUGAUGCAAAAGAAAUAGCAAGUGAAAUAUAAAUUGAACCGAUAUUUUGUGAAAAACGAGUUGUACACAUAAAGAAGCAAUUUUAUGAACUUCUUGUGAAGAAAUGACAUAAAUAGUUGAAGAAUCUUUCAGAGUAAAUUAUUUCAUAUAUACAAUAGAUCAAAAGCUCUAUCAUCACUUCAAAAUAGAUUUGAACAAUUUCCAAAAUAUGAUGAUAUUUUUGAAUUUUUAUUUGAUUUGAAAAAAAACUUAAAUAUAUCUAUUUUACUAGUUUGCAGUGUUCUUACAUUAACCUUGAAAAUGACUUGAAGCAUAACAUGAUUUCUGACAUUGAUGGAAUAAAAUCAUUUUCUAAGUUGAAAGUCAAAAGAGAAGUGAUACCUACUAAAACUAAUGGAGCAAUUGAUGUUUUAGAUUACAUUGAGAAUGAAUUGUUGUUUUGCAAAUGUUUGGAUUGCUUAAAAAGUAUCACUGGCUAUUCAUGUCAUCGUUGUCACCGUCGAAAGAAGUUUUUCAAAACUUAGAUUGAUUAAAUCUUAUCUUCAAUCAAUCAUGUCACAAAAGAGACUGAAUGAAUGAACUAUAAUUAGUAGUCUAGGGACUCAAAAUUCUGAGGUCAGGCCUUAUUUCAAAUCAAUGGAAAUAAAGACUGGAGACGUAAUAAAAGCAUACCAUGAUUUUUUGAUGGUGGUAAAAUGCCCUACGAAUUUUGGGGGCAGCCUUGAAACUAUGUUGAAAAAGAUUUCUUCAGGAAAUACUUCUCAUCAUCUUUUUUCUUGAUGAUUUGUGACAUAGCUUUUGCUCAUCCAGGACUACCAAACAACGAAGCAGAAGAUUAAUCAAAUUAUAACAAAUAAAGUUAAACAUUUUAAAAAUGAACAAAAUACCUUAAAAAUGAAUAAAAUACCAAUCAAUGUCAUACCUUAUAAUCUUCAGUCAAAUCCAUUGUUCAGAUGAGGGUUGGGAUUAACCGAAAAGUUCCUCUCUCUCUCUCUCUCUCUCUCUCUCGAGUCAUCAUCCUAAUAUAAGGAAGAGAUUGACUUCAACAGGCCAAUCUGAAUUGGGGCUGGAAAAUUGUAUACAAAACUUAAAAUCUAAAUUUUAAGGUAAAUAAAAAUAUAAAAAUUUUCAAAACCUAAUAAGAGACCGACCAUUGCCCUGUCUGUAAUCAAAUCUAUUACAUGAUACAAAUAAUUUUCAAUACCUAAUAAGAGACCGACCAUUACCCUGUCUGGAAUCAAGUCUAUUACGCGAUGCAAAUAAAAUUCAAAGUUCCAAAACUCCACAGACCCUAUUUUCCAUCUGAAUUGUAAGAACACAGCUAAAUUAAUUAGUAAUUUAAGAUUGGGAGAGGUUACCGUUAAGAAACAGGAUGAGGAGAUAGAAACCCAGCGCAUUACGGCCUGCUUGGAGUUUUAUUUUAUCAGUUUUGACUGGCACCUUCCAUAUAAAGUUGAAAAAAUAUAUAUAUAUAUAUAUAUUUUAUUUUAUUAUUAUUAUUAUUAUUUAACAUCAAUCACUCAAAAGCGAUGUAGCAUAAUUUUAAUUAUCUUUCUCAACACACUAAAUCAGUGAGUUUUGAUAGUAUUUAAAUUUUCUUCAAAUUUUAUUUUCUAUUAAGUAAUUAGUUUCAAUCGACAUAUAUUGUUCAAAAUAAAUUUGUAAAUAGAAAUAUAUUAAUUAAAAAAUUUAUUAUAACUAAAAAUUACAAUAUAAAUAAUAAUAAAAAAACUCACUUUAGGUAUAAAUUUACUUAUAAGAUAAAAAUAAUAUUUUUGGGUGAAAAAUUACCUUUAAAGUAAAAAAACUACUAGUAAGACAAAAUUUUAAGUAAAAAAAUUUACUUGUAUGUGAAAAAUUAUUUCAAAUUACAAAAUUAACUUAUAAUUGUACAAUUUACCUAUAAAUGAAGCACUACUUAUCACUUAAAAUGUAAAUUAUAAGUGAAAUAUUCACUUUGUAAGUUAAAAUAUUAACUUACAUAUAAAUUAAUUACUUACAAGUAAAAUAUCACUUAUGAAUAAAAAAAAUUAUAUAAGAAAUUAUAAAUUGAAAAUUUUAGUAGGAGCAUAUAUGUAUUUACUUAUAAUUAAAAUAUCACUUAUGAUUAAAAAAUCAUAUAAGAAAUUAUGAUUUGAAAAUUUUACUAGAAGCAUAUAUGUAAUUUUAGUCUAUUAAAAAACUAUUAAAAUUACUAAAUAACAAACUUUCAAGUAUGGAUUGGGGUGUUUUAAAAAUGUUAUUUAAAAUCGUUUAAAAUCGGACCCCUCUUAUAUGUCCAAAAUGGGUACCCCAAUACUCCCAACCAGGCCCUCAAUGACUCGAACGCUUCUUUGAUUAAUCUACUUUGCUGAUGCUAAACCAGUAUCUUUCAACUCAUGCAAUCGAUCAUUUUCUUCAAAGGGUUGGGUAAAUUAUGUUUGAUCAAAUUUGGACUUUUAAAUAUUUAGGAUCAAUUUGGCAAUAUUUCUGCUUUUGCGUCUGUUUUGGUUUUUGGUUUUAUUCCUAUUCCUUGUAAUAAAGUUUCUUCAGAAAUUUAUUUUAGGUCAAUUUUCUUAAAAGAUCUUCUAGUCAAAUAAAAGUAGUUUCUUAAUCACGAAAGCAACUUUUGACUCGUAAAAAGAUAUGUCUAAACGGGCCCUUAACAACUGUAGGUGUACUCAAUUGAGAUUUCUAUAGAGAAAUAUCAUUAUUAAUUAGAAUUUAUAAAAAGAAAUUAAUAUAUAAUUAAUAUUUUAUAUAUUGGUUACUUUUUUAAUUCAAUAAGUUUAUAAAGAUUUAAAAGUAUUGGUAAUAUGAUAAUUAGAAAUUUCUUUUCCUUUCUUAUCAAAAACUAAAGAAAUAUUUUUAAAAAAUCAUAUUUUUUGUUUAUUUUCCUAAUUUAUGUGACUUACAUUUUUUAUAUUCAUUUAAAAAAUAUUUUUAUUGAUAUAAAAAUACAACUUUUACCAAGUGAUGUGGAUUAAUUGACCAUGUAAGUCGCAGUAAACAAGGAUAUGCAAUAAGUUAUAUUAACAAUUUUUUCUAAAUAAGUAUGUUAAAAGUUAAAUGAUUUCUUUAAAGUCUUUUACGUCCAUUUAUUCUAUUCUAUAAAAGUCUAUAAAAAUCAAUAAAAGUUUAUUGAACUCUACAAAAGUCAUUCACUUAAAAAAUUCUCUAAAGUCUUUUAAAAACGUAAAUUGAUUACAUUUCCUUCUUUUAAAGCAAAACACCAACACAAAAUCAUUAUAUUCAACAAUUUAGAAAAAAUAUAUAUAUAAUAAAUUGAUUUGUUCUGUUAAAUCCAAAAUAUUGCUCAUUAUCCAUCUUUUAAAGUAAAUACUAUAUUCCCAAAAAAGAAAAAAAGAAAAAUGUGGGUACAAAUGUAAAUUCAGCUGUAAAUUCUUAUAUAGAUGUAUUUAAGUAUAAAACUGUAAAACAGCAAUACCUGGGCAGCUAUUAAACGAGCAACGGUUUUCUUGCUCGAUUCUUGAAGUUCACCAGCGAUUAGAAUUUCGUCCAAUAUAUAAUAAGCCUGUCAAUCAGAAACAAUUCAAAUUGAAAAACAAAGAACACCCAGUGGGUACACAUCUAAUAUGGAGGCUACAGUUGGUAUAAAAAUGCCUGUUUCAGAUUUAAAACUGUGUUCUUGGCUCACUUAGCCACCCAUGAAUUUCAGAGCAACUUGCAAGUAGUUGAAACUGAAACAAUGAUACAAUUGCUUGUAGAAAGAAAAACGAGUGGCGAACAAAAUAAUAUAUUAUCAAAUUCUAUCAAGAAGAGAUUGCAGGUUUCGUUUGAUCACUAGACAUACUCCAACCAAAAUAGUAUAGUUUCUUUUCCAAGUGACAAUGUAAAAUUUGCACACAUGGAAAUGCUCAUGUGUCAAAGGAAGGAAAAUACCCAAUAGAUAUAAUUUGAAAUUCAUAAAAGGCUCACCAAGAAAACAAAAUUUCUGCCAUAUUAAGCCACAGAAAAGAUAAGCAGCAUCACGUAUUAUCACUCCUUGACGCAUCAUACUGGUCUUCAAGUUGUCCAUCUCGAAGGGAAAAAAAAUCUUACUCUAGACAAGUGGUAAUUAUAUAGCAUAACCCCAAGCAAAACACUGCAGCACUUUUACAAAAGAACAAUGGAUCUCUUGCUAGAAGUGUUCUAAAGACAUCAAAAGCCACUUCGUGGCUGAGCUCAUAAGAUUGCCUCGGACAUUUGAAGAAGAAAAAUGUCCUAUGAGGUGCACAUUUUAUAAUUUGGAGCUUUGAUACUCAGACUCUUUGAAAUGGUCGGAAUAUUCGUGUCUGAUGUGACACGACAUGGGUAUGAGUAUGUGAUAUGUGUCGGAUCCUCCAAGUUUCAACCGGACACUUCAUUAUUUUUGCUUCUUUAUUUUUCUUCCCCUUUUCUUCUUUUUAUUCCUUCUUUCCCUCUUUGUAUCGAUGGUUUAGAAUUUUGACUGUAUAAAAUGAAAAUAGAUUUCAUAUAAUGUUAAUUGGUGCUCCACUGAGUCUAAAUUACAAUAAAGUCCCUCAUUUUCUAUUUUAUAUAUAAUUUAGUAAUUAACUUCCCAUAAUUGAAAUUUGAAAUCUAAACUCCAAAAUUUGAAAUCUAAACUCCAAUACUCAUUUCCAUCUUGUGAACAACUGAUUUUAAUCUAUUCAAAAUGACAUCUUGAACUAGUAAAAGAAUUGAAACUUGAAAGACGUACCCACGUCCGAAAUUUUAACUCUUUUUAACUAUAUCCUCGUAUCCUAUAUUUUAGAAAAUAAAUAUCCGACACUUGGAUUUGAGCAGCAUAGAUUUGGAGCAUUUCAAAGAGUUGAUACACACCUCUUAUGCCCAUAACAUUGAGACAUAGGUCCCACAGGAGUUGAUACUUCAAGGGCGUUUUAAUUAUUACAGAUAAUAAAACUAAUGUUUCAUGGCCCAAGUCAAUUAAAAUCACAGAAGAACAACCAACUCUAAUUUCCUAUCACCGACAAAGAGUGACAGCAUUAGUACCUUCAAUGUUACUCUGUAUGAUUAUCCAUGAUUAACAAGUAAAUCCAUUAAUUUCAAGGAAAUUCAAAAUAUUCUUAUCAAACAGAUAAAUAGCUAAUUUCAAGGAAAUUCAAAAUAUUCUUAUCAAACAGAUAAAUAGCAUAUUAACAUUUGCCUAUGUUCCCACUUCCAAACUCUUUAUGUAAACAAAUGUGGCUAACAAGAGGAAUUAUAUCAAAAUAUAGAAUACCUAUUCAGUUUCAAGGGGAAAAAAAAAAAAAAAAGCAUAGACUCAGACGAUGAAAGAUUUGAGAGAGUGAAUCAUCUAUUUUUAUUUAGCAAACAAGUUAAACUACUAUUUGAUGUCAACUUUGUUACAACAUGCUUGUUGUAGGAAUUGGUUUUAAGUGAUUUAUAAUGAGAAGUUAGAACUGUUUUCAUGGACAGCAUUGCGUAUCCUUAUUAAGAUUUUCUUUCCACUGAGAAUUUCCGGGUUAAAAAAUAGGAAAAAAAUUUGUGUUUACGGGAAAAAUAUUUUAUUGUAACAACGUAUGGUUGAAAAUGAGUACAAAAAAAAAGAGUUUUGAAAUAAUGGUUGUCAAACAGGGGAUAAAAAUGAAAGUUCAUGGAAGCACACACUCCACCACAAGAAGAGGUACUGCUUACCUCUUUGCUUUUAAAACACUGGUUGUCGGAAGGGAUUUAAUAUGGGUAGGAAGAUUACAUUUACUCUUUAAUUAUGUUCUUGUAAUCUUAACUACGACUAUAUAUGUCUAGAAAAUGUAACAAAUAGUCAUCAUACAACUUGCAGAUAUUGUAAUAUACAUCUGCAAACUAUCAAUAGUUAGUCUCCUAAUUAUCGUAAAUCUGUUGUCACUGCUUAUCCCAAAAUGUUUCAGUUAUUGCUGAGCAGUUUAUGCUAGAUAAGCUCCACUAAGUGACACUAACAUAAGGCCAACUAUAUAUCUAAUGUUAGAAUAAACUAAGGCCAUGUUUGAUUGGCACAACUUCCAUGGAAAAUGGAAUUCGAAUUCCACUUUCCACCAAUUUUGUGUGUUUGAUAGCAAAACUUUCCCAUGGAAUUCGUUUUCCAUCUUUUCCCCAUACACUUGCAUUUUUCAUGAUUUGGUGUAAAACAAUUCUCACCAAAGCGGCGAAAACUGGUUUUCCACAUUUUUUUUUUAAAUUUUAUUUUUGGCAAUGAGAACAAAUUUUAGGAACAAUUAUAAAAGAGAAUAUCCCUCAAAUUGAAAUUGUGACCAUAAUAUUAAUAAGAGGUAAUAAAGCAUAUCCGAGCAUCUAUUUGCUUGAUCGAAAUCUACGAGUUAUCUUGAAAGAUCCUCCGUAAUUUGAAGGUGGCAGAUUUAGAACAUAUGCUUUGAAGUGUUCUUUGUCAGGACUCAAGGCUCUCCGCCUUAUUCACUAAGAUGCACUCCUCAAAGCAUAAGAACAUCUCCAAGUCAUUCUUCAAAUUUGGGGAGUCAAUUUUUUUUUUGCACUCCAACAAUACUCUAUAUUUUAGCUCUUCAUUUUACAUUUUUUUCAAGAAACAUUAAUUAAUUUUUCCUUAUAUUUUAUUUAAUAUAAUUUUUUAUAUGUCAAUAGCCAUUCAAUUUAAAUGUGGUUUUAAUAUUUUAAGAAACAGAGUAUUAGUGUCUCUAACUUAAUAAAUGCAAUAAUUGUACAUUAAGAUUAGAGAUUGAAUUUGGCUCUCUUUUACUCCGGUUCAAAAGCCUCAGGUAAAUAUACUACAUGGUAGGCUUCUUAGAUCCAAACUAAAUUACUAAAUUAGUAUAGUAGGUAAAGACCUAUCCUAUAGUUAGCCUCCCAACCCGUUUAUAGUAUUCAAUUGUCUAGGUUAGUUUUAAUAUAGAAAUUUUAUAGAUCGAUGACAUCUUCCCUCAACUCUUUUCUCAGUUUCUUGUUAGCGAUUCCAGCAUAACAGACCAAUGCAUUGUGACAAAUUGCCUCUGUUUUUUUCUGUUGGUCUCCUUUCCAACCCACAUAUAUUUCUCGCCUCCAUUUUCAUUGUUUUUAUCUUUCGUAUUCAGUUUGCAAGAAAUAUUAAAUAAU
rnacentral:lncRNA from 1 species